rnacentral:tRNA from 1 species
GCCUGGGUGGCUCAGUCGGUUGAGCGUCUGACUUCGGCUCAGGUCAUGAUUUCACAUUCGUGGGUUCAAGCCCUGCAUCAGUCU